rnacentral:tRNA from 1 species
GGAGAAAUGGCAGAGUGGUCGAUUGCGGCGGUCUUGAAAACCGUUGAGGUGCAAGCCUCCUGGGGUUCGAAUCCCUAUUUCUCCGCCA